UAAAAUAUAUAUUAGAGAAUAAAUACUUAACCCUCUUGAGACCAACCCAGUUGAAACAGCCUCUGGCUCUGUCAUACAAAUGUCUUGUUUUCAUAAGUUCUGAAUUAAAAUCUUCCACCAAACCUUAGUCACAAUUUAUGUUCCUAACACUAGCUAAAUGAUAACUAAGUUAUUUUACGAAGUUCUUUGUUAUAUUUAAAAUUA